UAGUUUUAGAUAAAACAUUCUCUAAAAUUUUAGGCUAGAUAAUAAGAAGAUAGUAAUUACUAGUACUUUUAGUCUUCGUGGAUACGAUAUUUUUGGUCUUACUAUAACUAUACUACUGUUCAAUAGGUGCGCUUGCCUUAAGUAAAAUUUUUAGUUAGUUACAUGACCAUCAGACGUCAGAGUUUUCGAUCACACUAUCAAUUGGAAAGAUUUGGUAUAGUUAGAUUCAACAUUUUGAAUAUGGCAUGUAUAGGGACUUGG
rnacentral:lncRNA from 1 species